rnacentral:rRNA from 1 species
CUCAGAUUGAACGCUGGCGGCAGGCCUAACACAUGCAAGUCGAGCGGUAGCACAGAGAGCUUGCUCUCGGGUGACGAGCGGCGGACGGGUGAGUAAUGUCUGGGAAACUGCCUGAUGGAGGGGGAUAACUACUGGAAACGGUAGCUAAUACCGCAUAAUGUCGCAAGACCAAAGUGGGGGACCUUCGGGCCUCAUGCCAUCAGAUGUGCCCAGAUGGGAUUAGCUAGUAGGUGGGGUAACGGCUCACCUAGGCGACGAUCCCUAGCUGGUCUGAGAGGAUGACCAGCCACACUGGAACUGAGACACGGUCCAGACUCCUACGGGAGGCAGCAGUGGGGAAUAUUGCACAAUGGGCGCAAGCCUGAUGCAGCCAUGCCGCGUGUGUGAAGAAGGCCUUCGGGUUGUAAAGCACUUUCAGCGGGGAGGAAGGCGUUAAGGUUAAUAACCUUGUCGAUUGACGUUACCCGCAGAAGAAGCACCGGCUAACUCCGUGCCAGCAGCCGCGGUAAUACGGAGGGUGCAAGCGUUAAUCGGAAUUACUGGGCGUAAAGCGCACGCAGGCGGUCUGUCAAGUCGGAUGUGAAAUCCCCGGGCUCAACCUGGGAACUGCAUUCGAAACUGGCAGGCUAGAGUCUUGUAGAGGGGGGUAGAAUUCCAGGUGUAGCGGUGAAAUGCGUAGAGAUCUGGAGGAAUACCGGUGGCGAAGGCGGCCCCCUGGACAAAGACUGACGCUCAGGUGCGAAAGCGUGGGGAGCAAACAGGAUUAGAUACCCUGGUAGUCCACGCCGUAAACGAUGUCGAUUUGGAGGUUGUGCCCUUGAGGCGUGGCUUCCGGAGCUAACGCGUUAAAUCGACCGCCUGGGGAGUACGGCCGCAAGGUUAAAACUCAAAUGAAUUGACGGGGGCCCGCACAAGCGGUGGAGCAUGUGGUUUAAUUCGAUGCAACGCGAAGAACCUUACCUGGUCUUGACAUCCACAGAACUUUCCAGAGAUGGAUUGGUGCCUUCGGGAACUGUGAGACAGGUGCUGCAUGGCUGUCGUCAGCUCGUGUUGUGAAAUGUUGGGUUAAGUCCCGCAACGAGCGCAACCCUUAUCCUUUGUUGCCAGCGGUCCGGCCGGGAACUCAAAGGAGACUGCCAGUGAUAAACUGGAGGAAGGUGGGGAUGACGUCAAGUCAUCAUGGCCCUUACGACCAGGGCUACACACGUGCUACAAUGGCAUAUACAAAGAGAAGCGACCUCGCGAGAGCAAGCGGACCUCAUAAAGUAUGUCGUAGUCCGGAUUGGAGUCUGCAACUCGACUCCAUGAAGUCGGAAUCGCUAGUAAUCGUAGAUCAGAAUGCUACGGUGAAUACGUUCCCGGGCCUUGUACACACCGCCCGUCACACCAUGGGAGUGGGUUGCAAAAGAAGUAGGUAGCUUAACCUUCGGGAGGGCGCUUACCACUUUGUGAUUCAUGACUGGGGUGAAGUC